rnacentral:rRNA from 1 species
GACGAACGCUGGCGGCGUGCUUAACACAUGCAAGUCGAACGGUGAAAGCGGAGCUUGCUCCGCUGGACCAGUGGCGAACGGGUGAGUAACACGUGGGCAACCUGCCCCUCACUUCGGGAUAACUCCGGGAAACCGGGGCUAAUACCGGAUAACAUUUUGAACCGCAUGGUCCGAAAGUGAAAGGCGGCUUCGGCUGUCACUUAUGGAUGGACCCGCGUGGAAUUAGGUAGGUGGUGAGGUAACGGCUCACCAAGGCAACGAUGCGUAGCCGACCUGAGAGGGUGAUCGGCCACACUGGGACUGAUACACGGCCCAGACUCCUACGGGAGGCAGCAGUAGGGAAUCUUCCGCAAUGGACGAAAGUCUGACGGAGCAACUCCGCGUGAGUGAUGAAGGCUUUCGGGUCGUAAAACUCUGUUGUUAGGGAAGAACAAGUGCUAGUUGAAUAAGCUGGCACCUUGACGGUACCUAACCAGAAAGCCACGGCUAACUACGUGCCAGCAGCCGCCGUAA